ACGAACGCUGGCGGCGUGCUUAACACCUGCAAGUCGAACGGAAAGGCCCUGCUUUUGUGGGGUGCUCGAGUGGCGAACGGGUGAGUAACACGUGAGUUACCUGCCCUUGACUUUGGGAUAACUUCAGGAAACUGGGGCUAAUACCGGAUAGGAGCUCCUGCUGCAUGGGGGGGGUUGGAAAGUUUCGGCGGUUGGGGAUGGACGCGCGGCUUAUCAGCUUGUUGGGGGGGUAGUGGCUUACCAAGGCGUUGACGGGUAGCCGGCCUGGGAGGGUGACCGGCCACAUUGGGACUGAGAUACGGCCCAGACUCCUACAGGAGGCAGCAGUGGGGAAUAUUGCACAAUGGGCGGAAGCCUGAUGCAGCAACGCCGCGUGCGGGAUGACGGCCUUCGGGUUGUAAACCGCUUUCGCCUGUGACGAAGCGUGAGUGACGGUAAUGGGUAAAGAAGCACCGGCUAACUACGUG
rnacentral:rRNA from 1 species